GAUGAACGCUGGCGGCGUGCUUAACACAUGCAGGUCGAACGGAAAGGCCAGUGCUUGCACUGGUACUCGAGUGGCGAACGGGUGAGUAACACGUGGGUGAUCUGCCCUGCACUUCGGGAUAAGCCUGGGAAACUGGGUCUAAUACCGGAUAGGACAAUGGUUUGGAUGCCGUUGUGGAAAGUUUUUUCGGUGUGGGAUGAGCUCGCGGCCUAUCAGCUUGUUGGUGGGGUAAUGGCCUACCAAGGCGUCGACGGGUAGCCGGCCUGAGAGGGUGUACGGCCACAUUGGGACUGAGAUACGGCCCAGACUCCUACGGGAGGCAGCAGUGGGGAAUAUUGCACAAUGGGCGCAAGCCUGAUGCAGCGACGCCGCGUGGGGGAUGACGGCCUUCGGGUUGUAAACUCCUUUCGCUAGGGACGAAGCGUAUUUGUGACGGUACCUGGAGAAGAAGCACCGGCUAACUACGUG
rnacentral:rRNA from 1 species